CUCUCCUCCCUCUUUCUCCUUUCUCUUCAGGCAGGUGACCGCUCGGCGGAGUCGCUGGCUGCGGAUCGCCUGCUUUUCCUGUUGCUCCAUGCGGAAGAAUGAGUCGAUCCGGAGCUGAGUCUGAACCCAUUACCUGCUGGGUGUUGAGCUGCUUGAUCACAGGCUGAAGAGUCUCCUCCGUCUUCCGACUGCUCCAUCCGAAGCGACUCAGGCAGAACGUGGACCGGCUCAGGAAAAAAAUCUGACGUUCGUGAUCAGACACACACGCAAACACUCAUCCACCCACAUGGACAAAAAGGAUAUUCUUUGAUCAUGUCGAGUUGUGGGCGCCCCCAGCUGAAGGAGCCGUCUGACUGGUCCACAGCAGGAUGCAGAGACUGGAGGGAUUAAGUGUGAGGGAAAGUUUGGAAACACUUUGCUCACUACAUCCAAACAAACAAACACACCUGAACUGUGUUAGUGGCUCCAACCCCGGCCCUGGGAACUCAUUCAGUAUCUCCAUGCCAGUCACAUAUCCCACCCCUGGCACGCCCUCUGUGUAGUCACUUCCAAGCAGCCACACGUCUGAGUCGUCUGUGAUGGUCCCAUGAGUGUGGUCAGCGCGGUCGAGCGCCGCGCACUGAGCCUCGGCCUCCGUCGGGGCCACAAGGAACGGUACAUCUGUCCGGUGACUGUGUUCGCCAUCCUCUCCUGCUGCUGUUUCUGCUCCCUCAGGUUGCUCUGCUCCACCUGUAGAGAGCUCUCCAGAGCCUCCAGCUCAUCCUGCAGCACAACACAGACACACUCAGUUAUUG